UGGGAAAACAUGUCAUUUUACUUAAAAUUGCACAGGAAAGCACAUUGCACUUUUCACUUAUGGCUUUCAGCAACAAAUUUUAUACAUGACUGACAAUAUCUUAAACAUUUACAAAAUAUGCAUUGGCAUAAAAUUAACUUUUACCCUUUAUACAAAGGAAUAUGACUUUCAGUUUAAUAAAACUGUAAUAACAUGAUCUUAAAGUUCUAAGAAGUACUUAGAUUUAAGGCAUAACAUGCACAGUUCUAGGGCCUGUGCAAUGACCAAUAGGAUCACGGUGCAGGUAGUCACAGUUAAUGAGAACUCCCAUCUUUUCCACCAUUUGUGCUUAAGAAGACAUUUGGAGAAAAAAGUUUAUAAAAAUGCCUAGAUUUUGUUUUCCUCUUCGUAUUUCAACCCUCUUUCGGUGCACUUCUUACUGGCAACACAAAGGCGACACAUCCUCAGAAGGUGAGGGGAACAGCCUCAUGGCCUCUCUGGAGGAUUUGGUGUAGCCAUUAUGGAAAAUGAAGGCCUUCUUCACUGUGAAAAAGGAGACAGUCUUGUCCCACACGUCAGAGCUGCUCAUUCCAGUGCUUAGAUGGCUCUCUAACGUGGAGCGGAGCCUCACUGCUCUGUCUGUGCACUUCCUUUCCAAAAUCAUCAUCUUACACAGGCUGUGGAAGGAGAUGGAGAAACAUCAAAUUAAUGGUAGAUGCAGAGAAUUGGGUUGUUUCCAGGAGAAAAUACCAGCAUGCUUAAAUAUUGACGGCACAUGUAGAAAUGGUUUUGGUAACAUUCAUUCAACAUAAAAAAAAAAAAAAAGGAAAAACUUUCAAUCACUUUUGAGUCAAAUUCACAGAUAGUGGAAGAAACAUUGCUGUGAUGCCUGUUCAAAACUAGGAUCAAGCCUAGGAUGAUCUACAAUGAAGUUUCUUGUAUUUGAGCUUACGUUGUGUGUUGAUCCCUCAUGGCGAAUAUGCAGUCGGAUGGCGUCCCGUGAGUCCAGGCCCGUGUGGGUUACAAGAAAACGUUCAGGGUUAUGAUUUUACCCACAGAGACCUCCCUCAUUUAUAUACUUAUGCCAACUUUCCCACUGAUUUAAUGUGAUGUUGGUUCUCACAGUGUUUGGCCAAUCACAAAGCAGCAUUAUGACAAUAGGAUGUGAAUGAAUUAGUUGAAUUCAUUGGGGUACAAUGGCCCCAAUCCAAACAAACAGGUGGGAGGGGCCCAUUGCUUGCCCCUUGUUGAGGGAGAUUUCCUUGUUAUUGUAUCCACUGGGAUGAUAUGUGGUGGGAACGUGGAGGACAACAUCUGUCUGAGGACGUUCUUCCUGGAGGAGAAAGUCGUCCAUUGGUGGGCAGAGUUUCCAGAUAGGCAACCUAAAUAUUUAGAUACAUUUUUGGAAAUGUGAUCUAUGUGAGGGCAACAAAAAGCAUCAUCACAGACUGGAUCUGCAUCUAAGUGUUGUUAGUACCUGUUAUAUUAGUCUUUAAUAUAGAAUAAUCCCUUUUCUGUUGCAACAAGCUGAGAAAGUGAAGUGGUUUUCACUUUUUUCUCAAUUUCUUAAACUUUUCGUGUCAAACAGUGUAAGAGUUUUGCACCUUUUUAUUCACAGAUUCUUAAAAAAAGUUCAUCAUCC
ensembl:lncRNA